rnacentral:rRNA from 1 species
GAUGAACGCUGGCGGCGUGCCUAAUACAUGCAAGUCGAGCGAACAGACGAGGAGCUUGCUCCUCUGACGUUAGCGGCGGACGGGUGAGUAACACGUGGAUAACCUACCUAUAAGACUGGGAUAACUUCGGGAAACCGGAGCUAAUACCGGAUAAUAUAUUGAACCGCAUGGUUCAAUAGUGAAAGACGGUUUUGCUGUCACUUAUAGAUGGAUCCGCGCCGCAUUAGCUAGUUGGUAAGGUAACGGCUUACCAAGGCGACGAUGCGUAGCCGACCUGAGAGGGGGAUCGGCCACACUGGAACUGAGACACGGUCCAGACUCCUACGGGAGGCAGCAGUAGGGAAUCUUCCGCAAUGGGCGAAAGCCUGACGGAGCAACGCCGCGUGAGUGAUGAAGGUCUUCGGAUCGUAAAACCCUGUUAUUAGGGAAGAACAAAUGUGUAAGUAACUAUGCACGUCUUGACGGUACCUAAUCAGAAAGCCACGGCUAACUACGUG